CCUUUUUCUCCACCCCCCCCUCCCCAACCUCUCCCUUUAACCCCCCCCCCCAGCCCUAUCCUCUUAUCUCAGCUGUGUACAAACUGAUACGGCACUUAGCAGGAAAGUGACUGGAAAUUAAAAUAACUCGGUUCGCCAGAGGUUAUCAGCUGGGUAUCUGUCAUCAUCAGUCCCUACACAAAGACGCAUCCGCGGCCAGGGCUGGCAGCAGAGCUCAGACCGGGCUCGGCGGGGCCGCAUCCAGCCCGGACUCCGGGCCCCGCUUCUCCUGGGGGGUCGCAAGGCAAAGAAAUGCCACAAAGCAGCAGAAUCAGGCAAAAGCUCCCAGCGCGAUGUUUGAUGUGGGACCAAAUCCAUCCAUCCAUCCGUCCGUCCGUCCGUCCGCCCAUCCAUCCACGUAGCGACACUGGCUCCGUUUUGUGGGGUUUUCCUCUGAAAACCGGAGCAAACCGCACCUCUGCUCUUGGCACUUGCCGCAAGCGCUCGGCUCUCGUUGGGAAACAAUUUUCAUGACAAUUUAGCCGCUUUACCGAGGAGUCUGAGAACAAAGCUAGUUUAAAAGAAGGAAAUGGAAAAUGCUGCUUUGUACCGCCGUUAUUGCCGGUCACAUUGAAUUUGCAACUAAUUCGUAAAGGACAUCCGUAUUUCCAAAUAAUGAAAAGUGCAUUUAGAGAGACGGUUGUCCCCUAAGAUGGUUGUAACGGGGUGGCUGCAGUGCAUUGUUCCGCUGCCGUUAUUGAUGUGUUCUAAAAGGUCACAGCCCAAUGAAUUACAAGGCACCAAACUACUCUGCUUACAUCCCGAUUAGGUGGCUAUGAGCAAGAAGUGCUGCGGUCGGUUAUACAUAAGGGUGUUUUUUACUCUCUGUAAUAAUUUUUUACAUUUAUUGUAAUUGAUGGGCAUAAUACAUGUGCAAGGAAUUAAAGUAACACAGUAUUGGCAAAGUA